rnacentral:rRNA from 1 species
CAGAGUUGAUCAUGGCUCAGGAUGAACGCUAGCUACAGGCUUAACACAUGCAAGUCGAGGGGCAGCAUGGUCUUAGCUUGCUAAGGCCGAUGGCGACCGGCGCACGGGUGAGUAACGCGUAUCCAACCUGCCUUACACUCUUGGACAGCCUUCUGAAAGGGAGAUUAAUACAAGAUGUUAUCAUGAGUAAGCAUUUUCGCAUGAUUAAAGGUUUACCGGUGUAAGAUGGGGAUGCGUUCCAUUAGAUAGUAGGCGGGGUAACGGCCACCUAGUCUUCGAUGGAUAGGGGUUCUGGAGAGGAAGGUCCCCCACAUUGGAACUGAGACACGGUCCAAACUCCUACGGGAGCA